GUCUACAGCCAUACCACCCUGUAUGCGCCCGAUCUUGUCUGAUCUCAGAAGCUAAGCAGGGUCAGGCCUGGUUAGUACUUGGAUGGGAUAGUGAGAAAGAGAGAGAGGGAGAGAUA
rnacentral:rRNA from 1 species